rnacentral:lncRNA from 1 species
CCUCUCUCUCGCUUGGCUUGCUCUCUCUCUCCCUGCUCCUCCAGGCUAUGUGCCGGCCUGUGACACUACAGACCCUGGUUCGAUCCUAGGCUGUAUCACAACCGGGCGUGAUCGGGAGUACCAUCGGGCGGUGCACAAUUGCCCCAGCGUCGUCCGUGUUAGGAGAGGGUUUGACCGGGGUUCACCAGCUGACCUAUAUCAAGACACCCAUGUUGACUGGAUUCCCCCUGUGAAGAUGGGUAAUGCUGCAGCAGCAUCAGUUUCUACUACUUCUUCAUCUUUUUCCAGACAUGAAAGAAGACAUCCCUCAGUUAUAUGACAUGGUUGUCAUAUGCUGUGCUUUGGACAAUUAUUCUGUUGUCAAUUGAGUAGAGCACCUUGUCAUGACAAAAGUGCCCCCUUACACUGUAUGAAUAUAAUGUAAUUUGGAACGUUUAAAAGACUUGUUGAUAUUGUAAACAUACUGUACUUCAAGCUAUAUUGUUGUCUAAGUGAAAAGACAAGUAUUCUGUCAUCUUUGCUUUGCCUAGCCCCAUUGAAUAAAAAGUAUUUCUUAUGGCCCAACUAUUGCAAUGUUCCUUGCUUUUCAGAAACGUGGCUCUCAGACAAUAUGCCCCCCACGGCUAUCUAACUCGAUGGAUUCUUCAUUCACCGGGCAGACAGGAUAGUGGAGUCGGGGUGAGGCUGCCUUUCUGGUUGCGGUGAUUAUAAUUCGGCGUCACUAAAUCAAAAAGAUAUAUAAAUCACAUGCGCCGAAUACAACAGGUAUAGAUAGACCUUACAGUGAAAUGCUUACUUACAAGCCCUUAACCAACAAUGCAGUUAAGAAAAAUAAGUGUUAAAGUAUUUACUGAAAUAAACUGAAGAAAGUAAUGAAGGGAAAAAAAGGUGCAAAAAUAAAAUAACAGUAGCGAGGCUAAAUACAGGGGGUACAGGUUAUUCGAGGGAUUGAGGUCAUAUGUACAUGUAGGUAGAGGUACAGUGACUAUGUAUGGAUAAUAAACAGAGUAGUAGAAAAAGUUUGGCAUGAG